rnacentral:rRNA from 1 species
UACAGAGGUCUCGAGCGUUGUUCGGAUUCAUUGGGCGUAAAGGGCUCGUAGGCGGCCAACUAAGUCAGACGUGAAAUCCCUCGGCUUAACCGGGGAACUGCGUCUGAUACUGGAUGGCUUGAAUCCGGGAGAGGGAUGCGGAAUUCCAGGUGUAGCGGUGAAAUGCGUAGAUAUCUGGAGGAACACCGGUGGCGAAGGCGGCAUCCUGGACCGGCAUUGACGCUGAGGAGCGAAAGCCAGGGGAGCAAACGGG